CAAAUGUGAGUGUGGUAAAAAAAAUGCUGCUCUUCGCCAUUUGAACGGGUUGGCAUGUAGAAUAGGACACAAGUUUUAAUUUAUCAGAGAGGAAGAUUCGUGUUUUAAAUUGUUUAGGAAAAAGGAUCCAGUUAGCAGAACCCUAAAAAUGAUUUUCUUCAUUUUCCAAAUGUCAGCAAUCACGCGGUCAUACACUGUGUACAGACAUCAUCGAAUUUCGGGAAAAUGGACAACAGCCUGCUCAAGUGAUUAGAUGAAUGACAACGAUGUGUGGAGUGCGCAGUAUGAGCCGAAAUUCUCCACUUGAAUUGAAAAAAAACUAAAAUGCUUGAAUAAAAACAGUACUAAAAAUGAAGAAAA